rnacentral:rRNA from 1 species
AGCGAACGCUGGCGGCAGGCCUAACACAUGCAAGUCGAACGAACCUUUCGGGGUUAGUGGCGGACGGGUGAGUAACACGUGGGAACGUGCCUUUAGGUUCGGAAUAACUCAGGGAAACUUGUGCUAAUACCGAAUGUGCCCUUCGGGGGAAAGAUUUAUAGCCUUUAGAGCGGCCCGUGUCUGAUUAGCUAGUUGGUUGAGGUAAUGGCUCACCAAGGCGACGAUCAGUAGCUGGUCUGAGAGGAUGAUCAGCCACAUUGGGACUGAGACACGGCCCAAACUCCUACGGGAGGCAGCAGUGGGGAAUCUUGCGCAAUGGGCGAAAGCCUGACGCAGCCAUGCCGCGUGAAUGAUGAAGGUCUUAGGAUUGUAAAAUUCUUUCACCGGGGACGAUAAUGACGGUACCCGGAGAAGAAGCCCCGGCUAACUUCGUG